UAGAAAAUCAGAGAAGAAAAGUUCUUCUUAAGGGCGUGAAAGGAAGAGAGAAAGGUUCUCUCUUAUGCAUAGGAAAUUGAGAAGAAAGGGUUCUUCUCUUGAUCUCUAUUAUAGAGAUUAGAUGCAUUGAUCCAGGAAGAAAAGGAGAGGGUCUCUUUAUUCUUCAAUUCUAUCAUGUUCCUCUCAAAUCAGCCGAUUGAUGGUAUCUUCGUGAGCUAGCACUCCAGGAGAGAUCGAUCAGUACUAGGACUUUGUGUGGAUACUCGUAGA
rnacentral:lncRNA from 1 species